CAGUAUGGGAGUGAGAAUGUUGGCAUGAGUAGCGAGAUGUGGGUGAGAAUCCCACAGGCCGUAAACCCAAGGUUUCCAGGGGAAGGUUCGUCCGCCCUGGGUUAGUCGGGACCUAAGCUGAGGCCGAAAGGCGUAGGUGAUGGACAACAGGUUGAUAUUCCUGUACUACCGAUAACCGUUUGAGAGAAGGGAUGACACAGUAGGAUAAGCUAAGCACACUGUUGGUUAUGUGUGCCCAAGCAUUGAGGCAGUCAAAGUAGGUAAAUCCGCUUUGAUAAUGCUGGGAUGUGAUGGGGAGCGAAAUUUAGUAGCGAAGUAGCUGAUUUCACACUGUCAAGAAAAGUCUCUAUCGAGGUUAAAGGUACCCGUACCGCAAACCGACACAGGUGGGUGAGGAGAGUAUCCUAAGGCCAGCGAGAGAACUGUUGUUAAGGAACUCGGCAAAAUGACCCCGUAACUUAGGGAUAAGGGGUGCCUCCAUCAGGUGGCCGCAGAGAAUAGGCCCAAGCGACUGUUUACCAAAAACAUAGGUUUCUGCUAAGUCGCAAGACGAUGUAUAGGAGCUGACGCCUGCCCGGUGCUGGAAGGUUAAGGGGAUCUGUUAGAGCAAUCGAAGCAGUGAACUUAAGCCCCAGUAAACGGCGGCCGUAACUAUAACGGUCCUAAGGUAGCGAAAUUCCUUGUCGGGUAAGUUCCGACCCGCACGAAAGGCGUAACGAUUUGGGCACUGUCUCAACAACAGACUCGGUGAAAUUGUAAUUCCGGUGAAGAUGCCGGAUACCUGCGACAGGACGGAAAGACCCCAUGGAGCUUUACUGUAGCUUGACAUUGGGUCUUGGUACUACAUGUACAGGAUAGGUGGGAGGCUUUGAAACCAGGACGCCAGUUUUGGCGGAGCCAUCCUUGGGAUACCACCCUUGUAGUACUGGGACUCUAACCAUAGGCCAUGAAUCUGGUCUUGGGACACUGUCAGGUGGGCAGUUUGACUGGGGCGGUCGCCUCCCAAAAGGUAACGGAGGCGCUCAAAGGUUCUCUCAGUACGGUCGGAAAUCGUACGUAGAGUGUAAAGGCAAAAGAGAGCUUGAUUGCAAGACAUACAGGUCGAGCAAGGAUGAAAAUCGGACUUAGUGAUCCGGUGGUUCUGCGUGGAAGGGCCAUCGCUCAACGGAUAAAAGCUACCCUGGGGAUAACAGGCUUAUCUCCCCCAAGAGUCCACAUCGACGGGGAGGUUUGGCACCUCGAUGUCGGCUCAUCACAUCCUGGGGCUGUAGUAGGUCCCAAGGGUUGGGCUGUUCGCCCAUUAAAGUGGUACGCGAGCUGGGUUCAGAACGUCGUGAGACAGUUCGGUCCCUAUCCGUCGCAGGCGUAGGAAAUUUGAGAAGACCUGUCCUUAGUACGAGAGGACCGGGAUGGACGUACCUCUGGUGUACCAGUUGUUCUGCCAAGGGCAUGGCUGGGUAGCUAUGUACGGAAUGGAUAAGCGCUGAAAGCAUCUAAGCGUCGAAGCCAACUUCAAGUAUAAGAUUUUCCCACCGCAAGGGUAAGACCCCAGAAAGACUAUCUGGUUGAUAGGUCGAAGGUGUAAGUGCAGCAAUGUAUUUAGCUUAUCGAUACUAAUAGGUCGAGGACUUGACCAA
rnacentral:rRNA from 1 species